rnacentral:rRNA from 1 species
AUUGAACGCUGGCGGCAUGCCUUACACAUGCAAGUCGAACGGUAACGGGCCUUCGGGUGCCGACGAGUGGCGAACGGGGGCGUAAUACAUCGGAACGUGCCCGAUCGUGGGGGAUAACGAGGCGAAAGCUUUGCUAAUACCGCAUACGAGCUACUGAUGAAAGCAGGGGACCGCAAGGCCUUGCGCGGACGGAGCGGCCGAUGGCGGAUUAGGUAGUUGGUGGGAUAAAAGCUUACCAAGCCGACGAUCUGCAGCUGGUCUGAGAGGAUGAUCAGCCACACUGGGACUGAGACACGGCCCAGACUCCUACGGGAGGCAGCAGUGGGGAAUUUUGGACAAUGGGCGCAAGCCUGAUCCAGCCAUGCCGCGUGCAGGAUGAAGGCCUUCGGGUUGUAAACUGCUUUUGUACGGAACGAAAAGCCUUCUUUUAAUACAGGAGGGUCAUGACGGUACCGUAAGAAUAAGCACCGGCUAACUACGUG